GUGCUUCAAUAAGUCUGUUUUGUCGAAUAGAAAAAUUAAUUUAUCUACUCGACAUUCUUGUUUUAGCUAUAAAAACUGUUUCCCUCGCUAUCCAUUCUUGAUUUGUUAUGUCAUUUCUGGACGUUGGGUAACUAUAUAA
rnacentral:snoRNA from 1 species